CCAAUGGGAGGACAGUUUUAGGUAGCCAGUGAGAGACGAGGAACGAAGGAAAUAUUCCGAGCGCUGGAAUUGAAAGUGUUCGACGUUCUAUACUGUGGUUAUUCGUAGUUUCCAAGAAUUUUCAGCUCAACAGAUUCGACAAUUUUUUUGAAUGGAACUUGCGGCGAAAUAUAGAUGUUAUGUCUGGUCAAAAAAUGGAAAGUGACGCGGACCUUGAUCAAGCGUGACUUCCUUUUAACUGUACGGAGGAUGGAUGCUCCAGUCUUCAUACAGUCAUCCUGAUCCUAGUUUUCCAUCAUCUCUCAAAAUUAAUUCAGGAAAUUCCGGAUGCUUCCUACUAUAUGGCCACAGCCAACUACCUGUUCCAUCCUUGUCAUACUAUAUCUCAGACUACUGCUGUUGAGUCAUCUGCAUACAGAAUCGUAUCUGAAGUUGUUGGUCAACAUGAGCAGAAAUUCUUCCAGAGGGACCACAAUAGCUGUCUACAAUGGGCCACCCAGGAUUGUUGGAUUUGGGGAUUAUGUGGAAGGUUGCUGUUGGCGUGAGGAGCAAGAUGAUUUUGGGUGUGCAAAUAUGUUCCAUAAAAGAAAGAAUGAUGCCUGGAUAAAGUUUGAUGCUACAUUCCACCUUUCAGACGAAAAACAUACAAAAUUUGUUUUGCUGCAAACAAAACAGUUGUAUUCUUGCUUAUUCCACCUCCACACAAUUGUGCUCCGUUAAAUAGAAAGUGGGCAAAGAGCAAUGUCCCUGCAACCUAAAAGUGCACUGUUUGUGUAUUCUUCUGGUCAUGACAACAUACAAUAGUAGAUUAACAGUGAUUUAUUUAGCUUAUCACUCAUUUCUGUAACUUUUUUGGAGACUGCUUUAAAUUUAUCUUUUUAUCUGAUUAGUAUUUAGUGAAUACACGUAAUCCCGAUCUCCAUUUUUCUUCUACUGUCAUCAAAGAAUUUUCAACGUAUCUGAAGUGCAUGUACUGUAUAAAGGGCCAGUUCAAGAACAUUUUUCUGCACAAGUAACUUAUCGUGCUCCUCCCCCCUUCCCUCACAUUUGCCAUUGUGCACUUUCAUCCGUCUCAUUUUCCACUACUAAUUUUGAUAUACACUACAUAAAAAGUUUUGCACUUGGGUUAUGCUGUCAGCUUGGUGCCCCAGGCAUCUGCUAUUAGUUGUGGUACGUGCUGUACAGAAUUCUUAUAGCUAUGAUGCUGCUGGCACCUCUCCCAGUUUGGCACUCCAGCUCUCUGUUUGUGUCACCUGUGUCUUGAACUGGUCCUAUCUGCAUAGUAUUUGUAACAUAAUUGUUAAUAAUUAAUGGAAAAUCUCAUAUAAAUA